GCCGCGGUGACGGAAUCGGUAGACGUGAUGGCCUCAAAAGCCAUUGGGAGUAAUCCCGUGAGAGUUCGAGUCUCUCCCGCGGCACCA
rnacentral:tRNA from 1 species